rnacentral:lncRNA from 1 species
UCUUAUUGUCUCGUCAAAUACCCGAAUAAGAAAAAUAUGCCAACAACUGAUCGUAUGAACUGACACUUAUACAAAUCUGAUACUUAUUCAGAUGAAGCCAUCGUUUCAUAAAUGGUGACGACAGAACAUGGACUAAUAUUCCAUGAAGACAUACCAUGAUAUACAUAUGCAUUCCAGGUUCAUUAUCAAAAUAAAGAUGCUGCAGUUUUUUUAUUGAGUGUUUUUUUAGGGUUAUUGAGUGUUAUUCUUAUAUAACUGAUCCAACCGACGUAUCAUUCCACCGGUUGGGCGAAAUUUGACAAACUGUUCAAAUUGCGCCAGGCUGACAACGUUGCGGAGGAGGGCACGGAGGAACAUCACAAGGAGGCGUCGGUUGGCAUGGUCUAGAGCAGGCACUGCGGCUGCUGGGAAUGCCUGUACAUGUAUACGAAAGCAAAAAUUAGUCCAGCAAUAGUGCGAGUGCCUACUUGGGUUUCAGGCAUGUCCCCCUUUAAUAAACCUGCCAACGUGUACAUAUUUUCCCCUUCCUAAUGAGAAGGCAACGCUUCUGCCGGCUGCUCAAAAAUAAAUAAAUGGUACGAGUACCGCAUGUUGUUUAUUUUCUACUCCACCUCCACCCUAAAAGCUUACACGAAUCUUGAAGUUAUUUAAAAAUGUUAUCGACAUAUUAGCCUGCAGGCAUGUGCUUUGAGAAGAGAUGUGCAUAGGAUAUAAUUUAUCAAGCCCAAUCAUCACAUCUGCUUAUAAAAGGAAGGAAAUUCCCCGUGCACCAAUAAUUUUAUAUACCUGAAUUGAUCCCACUAACUCAAUUAACUUGACGUGCAACUAUGCCAACUCAUAAUGCCGCACUAAAUUUAAUUCUCUCAACAUGCAACUAUGCGAACUCACUAUGCCAUCAUGCAUGGCAAAAGAUGCACAUUAACAUGCAUCAUGCAUGAUAAAUUAUACUAAAUAAAAAAAUUCUACAUCUAACUAACAAUCGUAUGUAUUAGAUUAUAUGUUCUUGAGUUUCAUUUCUCAUAUUGCAAAUCAGAAUAUUAAAGUUUCAUCCCGCCAAAUCUCACAAAAAUUACGGCAUCCAAUUUCCGUUGCAACGCGCGGGUAUCAUCUCUAGUUACACCAAUAAUUAAGACAUAAAUUAUUUUCUUUAGAGAAAAGGCUAAAUUUUCUUGGUACCACCAAAUAACAUAGAGUUUUUUACAGGGAAAUAACAUAGUACAAUUUAUUCUAUAUAACUAAUUUUUGGAAGGUUUUAAACUCUUACAUGGACAUGCAUCCGGGUUUUCUUCUUAAUACUAUAUCUACUGGUCUUGCUAUUUCCCUUGAUAUCUAUCUAAACACGAGAUUGUGCGAGUAUAAAAGGGAUAAAAUGUAGGAGUAUGUUUUCAGUUUUUUUCGUAAGCCAUUGUGUUUGGCCUUUAUAUUCGUCACCUUCAACAAAAAAAUAUUUUGGUGAUGUGCAUCCAAGAAUGCAUUGAUCGGGAGACUUGUCAAGAAACAGAACUGUAAACCAUUUGCAUAUCUAAUUCAAAAAUAAGCUAAGUCGAUCGGAGGUGAAACACCUGUGAAGCUCUUGAAUCUCCGACUGCCUCGAUCGCUACACCGUAUGCAGACACUACUCUAUCUAAUUUGGUACUCCCUCCGUUCGGAAUUACUUGUCUCGAAAAUAGAUGUAUCUAGAACUAAAAUACAUCUAGAUACAUCCAUUUCUAUGAUAAGUAAUUCCGAACAGAGGGAGUAGUAUUUAUUCACAGCUCAGUAAAGCAAAGAUCACGAUCACGUGUAGAAAUUGACGGAGUGCUUGGUAAAAAUAGUAGAGUACCGGCAUUGUAAAGAAAUAUAAGAGCGUUGAGAUCAUUCAAUAUGUACGCACAUGCAGAUACUGGUGGGCUUGGAGCUAGGGGUGAGGGUGAGGGUGAAGCUGAGGCGGCGACGUCGCCGACUGCAGGCGACCCCGCGCACAGCAGCAGCGCCGCGAGGAACAGGGCUGGGAGCAAGCCACUUCCCCGCCUCGACAUGUUAUCGGUCGAGCUUUCUCCUCUAGUGGGAGAGGCGCGAGUGUUGGCUGUUUAC